rnacentral:rRNA from 1 species
AUGGAGGAACUAGGCUCCCCUCAACAACAAAGUGUUCCUCUGGCUCGCCUACCUCGACAGUUGCUAGACUGCGGAGCGGCGUGUGUGCUCUAUCACGCUCUAUUCCACGGCUCCACUUCGCCCCCAUGCUGGAAGCUACUAUGGAGGAGCUGGGCUCCCCUCAACAACAAACUGUUCCUCUGGCUCGCCUACCUCGAUAGAUGUUGGACCGCGGAGCGGCGUGUUCGCCAUGGCUUAUCUAACGACCCUGCUUGCAUCCUCUGCGACCAAGAGGCCGAGUCCAUCGAUCACCUGCUAGUGGGCUGCGUGUUCUCCCGCAUCAUUUGGCACGAAAUUCUCUCCUGGUGUCGCCCUAUCGCCCCACCGUUGGACGACUCCACAAGCUUCUUCGCCUGGUGGUCCGAGGCGGCUGCGGCAUCCCCUGGUUGCUUGAGAAAGGGGCUCAACUCCAUCAUCGUGUUGUCUGCAUGUGCCAUUUGGAAGCAUCACAAUGCAGCUAUCUUCAACGGCCAAUGCCCCUCCACGGGAGAUCUAACCAAGGCCAUCAAGGACGAUGCCCGGCUAUGGGCCAAGGCGGGCACCACGGGACUAGCUAGUAUUAUUCCUGUAACCUAG